rnacentral:rRNA from 1 species
AUUGGACGCUGGCGGCAUGCCUUACACAUGCAAGUCGAACGGUAACGCGGGGCAACCUGGCGACGAGUGGCGAACGGGCGAGUAAUGCAUCGGAACGUGCCCGGUAGUGGGGGAUAACUGCUCGAAAGAGCAGCUAAUACCGCAUACGACCUGAGGGUGAAAGGGGGGGAUCGCAAGACCUCUCGCUAUCGGAGCGGCCGAUGUCGGAUUAGAUAGUUGGUGGGGUAAAGGCACACCAAGGCAACGAUCCGUAGCUGGUCUGAGAGGACGACCAGCCACACUGGGACUGGAACAAGGCCCGGACGCCUACGGGAGGCAGCAGUGGGGAAUUUUGGACAAUGGACGCAAGUCUGAUCCAGCCAUGCCGCGUGCGGGAAGAAGGCCUUCGAGUUGUAAACCGCUUUUGUCAGGGAAGAAAUCUUCUGGGUUAAUACCUCGGGAGGAUGACGGUACCUGAAGAAUAAGCACCGGCUAACUACGUGCCAGCAGCAGCCGCAGUAA